GAAAUGCGAUAAGUAAUGUGAAUUGCAGAAUUCAGUGAAUCAUCGAAUCUUUGAACGCACAUUGCGCCCUCUGGUAUUCCGGGGGGCAUGCCUGUUCGAGCGUCAUUAUAACCAAUCUAGCAUAGCUAGGGUUUGGGUCCCGUCUGUUGGCGGGCCUUAAAAUCAGGGGCGGUGGCUUCAGGCUUUACGCGUAGUAAUUCUUCUCGCUACAGAGUCCUGGAUACUAUUUGCCAUUAAUAUUAUUUUUUUAGGUUGACCUCGGAUCAGGUAGGGAUACCCGCUGAACUUAA
rnacentral:misc_RNA from 1 species